rnacentral:lncRNA from 1 species
UUGAUUAUAUUUUAUUAUCAACAGAAUUGAUAGUUACGUUCUAACAGAAAAUUAAAACCAAAAUCAAAAUAUGAUGUAUUUUCAAAAGCAGAGAGGUUUAAAGUUAAUUUUAUUAUGAAGCCAUCAGCAAAAUUUUGUUCCUUUGACAUAUCAUCUCAACUCUUCAAAAUUCUCAAUACAGUAAAAAUUUCAGGAGCUUUUGCCUCAAAUUUAGACUUUUUUUCAUUCAGAUCCUGAGCCCCUAUAUGUGUCAUAUUUUCACACCACAGACACAAAAGGAAGAAAGGAAUACAGCAUACAUUUGAAACUUUCUUUUAAAUAAUGCAAUACUGGAGGGAACUAUGGCCAGAGUGAUUCAAUAAUAUUUGCAGAUACCUACAGACUGAUCCCCUUUGAGACAUUAUGUAUGACUAUAAUCAAGUGAACACUGUUUACAAACAAAGAUACAAACACUACUGAAAGCUUCUGAAGGAUUACUGAUCAUUGAAAACUAAAUUUACAUAUUCACAUACUGUGUGUGGCUAUGCUAGGGGAGAGCAUUGUUCCAAUGCUGGAAGCACUUAGUAGAAUCCACUCAUUCUAUUCAUCUACUCAUCUACUUAUUCUAUAAUGAGUAGUAUCUCAUUCUGUGUGAAGUGGCAUAAUUGUAACUGGGAUAAGGUAAACAUGCAUGAUGUAACUUUACACUAAACAGUAAAAAGUUAAAAGAAGUACAGCUUAAAAGCUAAUAGGAAGGAUAAAAUUGAGUAAGAUAAAAUGAAAGGAGGUAUUUAAAAAGAAAUUAUAGAAAGCAGUUAGCAAAAGGAAGCAUUUUUACAAAAUCAUAUUUACAUAAAUAUAAAUGGACUGUAUUCUCUAACAAAAUUAAAACAUUUUCAAAAUAAAUUUUUAAAGAUCAAAUAACAUUUUACUUAUAAAAGAUGGACUUUAAAUAUAAAAAAAUAGAGCAAAUGGUGGGCGUUCCAGGAUGGCUGAAUAGGAACAGCUCCGGUCUGCAGCUCCCAGCAUGAUCAACACAGAAGAUGGGUGAUUUCUGCAUUUCCAACUGAGGUACCUGGUUCAUCUCACUGGGACUCGUUGGACAGUGGGUGCAGACCAGAAUAUAUAAGUGGCUCAUAUAUUUAAACAAUAAAAGAUGAUCUACCUGGUUAAAAAAUAGGGGGAAAAACCCUUAAACUGAUACUUCAUAAAGGAAAGUAUUCAAAUGGCCAAUAAAAAAGUGAAGACAUUUUUCAACAUUAUCAAUCAUUAAGUAUAUGAUAUUUAAACCAUAGUAAGAUAUCAAUAUGCACUCAUCUAAAAUUCUAAAAUAAAUACCAACAACCCCAUGGGAACAUUAAAUGACUGAUUCUCACAUGCAAUCAAGAAAUAGCCACUUGACUUUUAUGUAUUUACCCAAGAGAAACAAAAACAUAUGUACAUAGAAACAUUUAGAUGAAAAUGUUCAUAGAAAUGUCAUUAAUAACAGAAACUGGAAAAAACAAAAAUGUCUGUAGUUCUUGUACAACCCAAGAUAGUGUCAUGUAAAUGGUUCUAUGUAUAUAUGUUUUGGUUUCUCUUGGGUAAAUACUUAAAAGUCAAAUAGCUAUUUCUUGAUUACAUUUGAGAACCAGUCACUUAAUAUUCGCUUGUGGUGUGUGUGUGUGUGUGCAUGUGCAUGUAUGUGCAUGUGUAUAAAAUAUUUUACAUACACACACACACACACACACACACACACACACACACACAUAUACAUAUAAAAUUUAAGAAUGGCCCACAAGAUUAUGGAGACAAGUCCAAAAUCUACAGAGUUAAUGUCUUGGUUUUUCUCAAUUUCUUUAAUUAUAUAAAAUGCAGUAACCAAAAUAUGUAUUGCUUUCAAAGUUUUUAAGAAGUUAUGAGCUUUAUGGGAUCAGAAUAUCCUUGGCAUUUUCUGAAAAAAGGAACUAUACAAUUAUUUCAAAGAAAUUUUCUAAGUUUCAAAUGGAAGUCAUCCCCUGUGUUUAUCAUUCUUCUUUGGGCUUCACUAUUUGAGACCUGUGUAGAAGGAAUGAAGAUAACAUUUAUGGUCGUUAAUUUUAUGUAUCAACUUGCUUGGACCAUGGAGUUCCCAGAUAUUUGACCAAACAUUAUUCUGAAUGUUUCUGUGACAGAGUGUUUUCAGAUGAUAUUAAUAUUUACAACAAUAAACUAAAUAAAGCUUAUUGCCCAUCAUGAGGUGAGUAGGCCUCAUCUAAUUGGUUGAAGUCCUGAUUAAACAAAAGGCUGACCCUGCCCCAAGUAAGAGAGAAUUCUGCCUGAGAGCUGAGAACUGUAACAGAGCUCUUCCUGGUUCUGUAGCAGCUUGCCACCCUUCAGACUCAAACUGAGACAUGAGCUAUGUAGAUUUUGUAUUUGUCAGCAUCCAUAAUCAUGUGAGCCAUUUUAUUAUUAUAUAUGUAUAUAGGAAAUAUUUUACACACACACACCCCAAGGGAAUAUUAAGUAGCUGGUUCUCACAUGUAACCAAGAAAUAGAUAUUUAACUUUUAAGUAUUUACCCAAGAGAAGCAAAAACAUGUAUACACAGAACCAUUUAGAUGAAAAUGUUAAUACAGAUGUCAUUCAUAACAAAAAUAUAUAUAACAAAAAUAACUAUAUGCUUAUCCUAAUUUAUUUGACCCUGAAUAUUUGCAAGUUUAUACAAGUCAGGUAAUACAUAAUGUAAUUAUUAGUUGUUUCUGGACAAUGAUUCAACCCUUCAAUAAAGUUAGCAAGUAUGUGGUAAACUCUGAAUUCAGUAGCCUCAAAAUUGAUGGUGGAAUUCACAAAUUCAUUUUCAAAUUGUUUGCAGCCUACUUGGGUGAUAAUUGCAUUUUAAAACUGUUAUAUCUCAGGUAUAAAAUGUAAGUUUCUUUGUGGAAUGUAAUUUUGGCAACUUAUGUUCUUUGUAGUUAUCCUUGGAAAAAAUAAAAAUGGACUUGUAUUUAUUAUACGAGAAAAUCUUACCCCAAUAAUUAUAAAAUCUUACCAUAAUAGUUAUAAUCUUUCUUUUACCUAAAGCUGUAGAAUUCUUGGGUCUAGCUAUCCUUUAUAACUGUAUAUUCUUUGUAUAUUCAUACAUUAUCUAAACAGUGAUAGUUGAGUUAUUUUAAUCUGAAUGUUAUUCUAUAUAACAUAUUGCUCCUAAAUUUUACUGAAAUUAUAAAAACUAAUUUCUCAUACUUGAAGAUUCAUAAGGAAUGUUAAGAAAACGUUAUGAUUCUUCAAAAGAUAAGUCUCAGUAUACUAUUAUUGGUACCUAAAUACAUUACAAUAAGACUCUAAAUGGAACUAGGUUGUAUAAUAUUGUCUCACAAAUAAAUUUUGUAAAAGAAGACAUUUUCAAAUGUUCCAAUAUGUGCUCUCAGUUAAUUUAAAGGCCAAAGACUUUUGAAUUGAUAUAAUAAACUCUUAACAGAUAAAAAAUUAUAUGUCCUAAUAUCCAAAUGAUAUGUACCAGUUGUUGUUUUUAUUAACAGGCUAACUACAUGGGAAUAAUAGCAGGUGAGUAAUGAGAUGUGCUCUGAAUCAGAAAUAUCUUACAUUUUUAACAGGAAAUCCACUGUUACAGUCCAGAAUACUUAAGGAAAAUUACUUGGAGUUUUUAAAAUGUGAAAGCAUCUGUCAAAUUCGAAUUAGUACACAUAUUACUACUUUAUUCACUAGUUUGUUUGUAGUUAAAUGGAUGGUUAAAUACUUGUGAAUUAAAUGUUAGAUUAUUUAUUCUCAUCUUAUUUACCUAUUUAUUUCUUUUUUAUGAAGUUUGCAUUUGUGAAAUACAUCCUCCUCAGCAGUGUAAUAGUUAUUCCCCUAAGAGUUAAGUCUUGCAAUUGUUCAACAAUUUAUAUUGACCUUUCUCAAAUCUCUCACUGUCUGUCAAUAUUGAUUUGGAAGGAUAGCUUUAACUCAGACAUUUUAGUAUUAUUAUCAUAUUUAAAUAGUCAGAAUAAGCUUGUUUCUGUCUUAGUACAUGUAAACUUAAUGUUGAAAUUGGCUCAAUUCCAAUUUUCAUCUUCAUGCUCAUGAGGAAAUAAUACAUGAAAAUCUAGUCUAGGUUUUGGCUGAGUAUUUUUUAAAAGUAAUCAUUUUUAAUGUCUUAUCCAUUCAAGUCAAGAAAAGCUCAUUUGAGUUUCUAAAUUUCUAAAUUUUUACUUGACUGUACAAAAUGUGCAGAUAACCUGUGCCACUUAUCUGUUUUAUAGGUGAUACUUUUCUUGCCACCGUAUACCAAAGAACUUCCUAAAAUGAGUAAACAGAAUUAGGGGCAUCCUUUCAAUCUAUCUAUAAUCUCUCUUUUAUGUGCUUCCUCUAAAAACUGAGAUUCCUACAAUUAGCCUUCUUUGUGAAAAAGGCUUAUCUAAAAUGAGUAAUGCCAAACUGUGUGCGUAUUAGUCUGUACUCACACUGCUAGAAAGAACUACUAACGUUAAACCUGGGGCCUUGAGUCUGACGCAUAAAACCAUUUCUUCCUCAUAGGCCUCCAAUCCCGUGAUGGAACAGGCUGCCAGGAAGGUCUCUGAAAUGCCCUGGGUGCAUUGUCUAGUGAUUAAUAUCUGGCUCUUCUUUACUUAUGCAAAUUUCUGUAGCCUUGAUUUUCUCCCCAGAAAAUGAGGUGUUUUUUUUUUCUACCACAUAGUCAGGCUGCAAAUUUCCCAAACUUUAAUUCACUGCUUCCCUUUUAAGUUUAAGUUACAGUUCCUCAUCAUUUAUUUGUUUAUGCAAAUGCACAUGGACUUUUAGAAGCAACCAGGCCACAUCUUGAACUCUUCGCUGGUUGGAAAUUUCUUCCACCAGAAAACCUAAAUCAUCUCUCUAAAGUUCAAAGUUUCACAGAUCUCUAGAGCAGGGGCACAAUACCACCAGUCUCUUUGAUAAUGCAUAGCAAGAGUGACCUUUACUCCAGUUCCCAAUAAGUUCCCAUCUUCAUCUGAGAACAUCUCAGCCUGGACUUCACUGUUCACAUCACUAUCAGCAUUUCGAUCACAACUCUUCAACAAGUCUCUAGGAUGUUCCAAACAUUCCCACAUAUUCCUGUCUUAUUUUAAUUCCUUCAAGCUUUUCCAAUCUCUGCGCAUUACCCAGUUCCAAAGUCAUGUCCACAUUUCAGAUAUCUUUAUAGCAAUACCCCACUUCUCUAGUACCAAAUUCUGUAUCAGUCCAUUCUCACACUGCUAUAAAGAACUACAUAAGACUGAGAAAUUUAUGAAGAAAAGUGUUUUAAUUGACUCACAGUUUCACAGGCUGUAUAAAAAAGACUGUAUGGGAGGCCUCAGGAAACUUACAAUAAUGGCAGAAGGUGAAGAGGAAGCAGGCACAAACUUCACAUGGUGGAGCAGGAGAGAGAGAGAGAGCAAGGGGAGAAGUGCUAAGCACUUUUAAACAAGCAGAUCUCAUGAGAACUCACUCACUAUUAUAAGAACAGCAAGGGGAAAACUGUCCCCAUGACCCAAUCACCUCCCACCAGGGCCCUCCCCCAACAUUGAGGAUUACAAUUCAUCAUGAUAUUUGGGUGGGGACAUACAGCUAAACCAUAUCAAUGUGCUAACACAGUAAGACCUAUAAACAUCUCAGGAGACAAUACUGUAUCUCAUCAAGUAGCAGCUAUCAGGAUCCGAGGGAAUUUUGACACUAGACAGGCAUUUUUAUAGGACAAGGUCAUCUUAUUGACUAAUGUGGAGAGAUGGUCUACAUAAUCUGAUAGUACUCAGUUGUGUUGUGAAAAAAGGAAUGGGAGGGAGAAUGAGGAGAUAAGGAAGUUGGGGCAGAUUAAAAGAGCUAUUAAAAACAAACAGUUUCCUUUGUUUCAAUUUUGCCCUACUCAUGGACACAUCUCUGUAUCCCCAAUGUCUGUAGGAUUAUAUUUAAAGUCUUUUUUAAAAUUUCUUAUUAAAAUUAAACUGGAACAUUACUAGGAAAACUAAAUUUGAUACAAAUAUGUACUCUUAAGAUUUUCCAGUUUCAAUCAUAAAUUGCCUUUGAAAUAGCUGUUAUUUUGAAUAAUUCAUACCAAAGGUGAAACCAGACUGCAUGAGAAGGCAUAUCAUACAUUUUGUGAAUGUCCUACUUUUCAAGUGACAUCAAUUUGGAUACUUUUUAGGGCUGGACCAAUUACUUUGUAACGUCAGCUUAAUAAAAUGUAUGCACUUAACAUAAGCUCACUUAGUUUAAUGUGUUGCUUAUGUUGUCUAUAAAGUUCCAAAAAAAUCCAAAGAAUUGAAAAAGACAAUAAUUAUUUCGAUAGUUAACAUUAUAUGCCACUUAAAUGUUGAAUUGUCACUUUUUUGUUAUUUUCUGAUGAUUUUUAAAAGCGUAGUCCAUAAACAAAUUGCAUAUUUUGACUAUUAGACAAGUGAUUUUGUGAAUCUCUUUGCAUGCUUAGAGAAAUUCUGCUCACAUUUUGAUAAGUUAUGGCUCCUCAAAUCGUGGCUGUCAGAUGGCAACUAAGUAAUCUAAUACAAAAGGUAGGAGAAAUUAAUCACAAUAGUUUAACAUAGAAAGUAGAAUAAUAUAAUACACAAAUGGGCAGAAGUAAUUGAUUUGUGUUUAUUUUUAUCUACAGCCAUCCUAUUGUGGCUAUUGAUCACAGAAAAUUCAUAAAAUUAAUUAGCAUAAAAAUAAUUUACCUGAGAGCUUUUUAUUUUCUUUUCUUCUCCUGCCUAUCCAUGUUUCUACUCAUUUUUUCUUGGUUGGUUGGCUUCUGUGUAUGUUGAAUUAGAAAUAAAAAAAAUCAAGCUUUCUUUUCUUUAUAUCCACCUUUUUGAAAGUUUACAUAAAAUCCUUAAUAACAAUGCAACAAAACAAUAACAAGAACAACAAGAUGUAGGGUCAUUGGCUAAACAGAUGUUGAACUCUAGAUAUUGUGGACUAUAAUCAAAAGUAUUUAUCUACAAAAUCAUCUUCAACAUUUUAGUUGAAAUUUACAGAUCAUUGACUUCUUCAUUUUUUGUCAUUCCCUAGGAAAAGUAGUUUCAAAUAAAAAGCCACCUACUAGCCAAGCUGCAAUGUGUGAGAACUGCACUAGUUUACCUAUGACUGCAGGGUUUGAAUACACAUUUAAUAAACAUUUGCAUUCUACCUUGAGGUUUCUCAACAGAAUUACUUCUAAUUGGGAAAGAAACACAAAAGUGGAAGAAAUAAAGGAAAUGAAAAGUUUAAACAUAUUUUAACAGAACGUUUUGCUGAUAUAAAGUGUUCUGGCACUUAAGAUCAGUAAUAAUUGUUUAAUGGUGUAACCAGUGAAAUUAUUUGUGGCAAGUAACAAAUCCCUCAACUGCGAUUAUCAGCCAUAUUGUGAUGUACAAUAAUAAUAACAAAAUGAUUAUGGACCUUAUAUAUAAUUUAGGGGUCAGAGAAUAGGGG